UGUGUUCUUGUUUCUUCUAGGUCAAUGCCAGAUGGGCUGUGAUUUUCUUCUAUUCAUUUACUGCUGUGUCCUGGAGCCUGUCUCAGAGCCAGGAUUGUUCAUUUAAUAGGAUUGUUCUUCAAAGUUGAGCAUGAAAAAGAAUCGUCUGGAGAGUUGAAGCAUCACCAGAGAUGCUGGUUCAGUGAUGAUGGAAUGUUUGCAAACCAACCAUCUGACAGACGAGGCCGAUGCUGCUGGCCUGGAAUUUCAUCCGUCAAUGGAAAAGAUCUUCUGGGACAGUUGAAUAUCCAGGGCCUGCAAAGACCACUGAUGAUCUCAAAAAGUGCAUGUCC